CCAAUAGCGUAUAUUAAAGUUGUUGCAGUUAAAAAGCUCGUAGUUGAAUUUCGGGACUAAUAUGUCGGUCGUACUUUGUACGUACUAGCAUUAUUGGUUUCUCCCUUCUGACGAACCACGAUGUCAUUAAUUUGGUGUCGCGGGAAAUCAGGACUGUUACUUUGAAAAAAUUAGAGUGUUUAAAGCAAGCUCGCGCUUGAAUACAUUAGCAUGGAAUAAU
rnacentral:rRNA from 1 species